GGAAUCUUCCACAAUGGACGAAAGUCUGAUGGAGCAACGCCGCGUGAGUGAAGAAGGUUUUCGGAUCGUAAAGCUCUGUUGUUGGUGAAGAAGGAUAGAGGCAGUAACUGGUCUUUAUUUGACGGUAAUCAACCAGAAAGUCACGGCUAACUACGUGCC
rnacentral:rRNA from 1 species